GGGAAUAUUGCACAAUGGGCGCAAGCCUGAUGCAGCCAUGCCGCGUGUAUGAAGAAGGCCUUCGGGUUGUAAAGUACUUUCAGCGGGGAGGAAGGCGAUACGGUUAAUAACCGUGUCGAUUGACGUUACCCGCAGAAGAAGCACCGGCUAACUCCGUGCCAGCAGCCGCGGUAAUACGGAGGGUGCAAGCGUUAAUCGGAAUUACUGGGCGUAAAGCGCACGCGGGCGGUCUGUCAAGUCAGAUGUGAAAUCCCCGGGCUUAACCUGGGAACUGCAUUUGAAACUGGCAGGCUUGAGUCUCGUAGAGGGGGGUAGAAUUCCAGGUGUAGCGGUGAAAUGCGUAGAGAUCUGGAGGAAUACCGGUGGCGAAGGCGGCCCCCUGGACGAAGACUGACGCUCAGGUGCGAAAGCGUGGGGAGC
rnacentral:rRNA from 1 species